rfam:Camelus ferus isolate Naran unplaced genomic scaffold scaffold34836, whole genome shotgun sequence.
GGAGGGAUAGCUCCGUGGUUAGAGUGCGUACCUGGCAAGCACAAGGUCCUGGGUUCAAUCCCCAGUACCUCCA